rnacentral:rRNA from 1 species
CCUACGGGUGGCAGCAGUGGGGAAUAUUGGGCAAUGGGCGCAAGCCUGACCCAGCAACGCCGCGUGAAGGAAGAAGGCUCUCGGGUUGUAAACUUCUUUUAUCAGGGACGAAGCAAGUGACGGUACCUGAUGAAUAAGCCACGGCUAACUACGGGCCAGCAGCCGCGGUAAUACGUAGGUGGCAAGCGUUACCCGGAUGUACUGGGUGUAAAGGGCGUGUAGGCGGGAAAGCAAGUCAGAUGUGAAAACCAUGGGCUCAACCUGUGGCCUGCAUUUGAAACUGGUUUUCUUGAGUACUGGAGAGGCAGACGGAAUUCGUAGUGUAGCGGUGAAAUGCGUAGAUAUUAGGAGGAACACCAGUGGCGAAGGCGGUCUGCUGGACAGCAACUGACGCUGAGGCGCGAAAGCGUGGGGAGCAAACAGGAUUAGAUACCCCUGUAGUC